AUUGAACGCUGGCGGAAUGCUUUACACAUGCAAGUCGAACGGUAGAGGGGGCAACCCCUUGAGAGUGGCGAACGGGUGAGUAAUAUAUCGGAACGUGCCCAGUCGUGGGGAUAACGUAGCGAAAGUUACGCUAAUACCGCAUACGAUCUAAGGAUGAAAGCGGGGGAUCGCAAGACCUCGCGCGAUUGGAGCGGCCGAUAUCAGAUUAGGUAGUUGGUGAGGUAAAGGCUCACCAAGCCAACGAUCUGUAGCUGGUCUGAGAGG
rnacentral:rRNA from 1 species